GGGGCCGAGCUCGAGGACGCAGAUAGCCGCGACAAAUUGCACGCCUUCGCGUUCGCCGAUAGUCAAUCGCUGUUUAUUACCAUUUGGCGCCGGUGCCACUGGUUACAUCAUUCAGUCUUCUUUUUCCACGCCUAUUCCCACGCGAUCUCCUAAUGUUCGCGUCGAUAAACUUUCACCCUUGUCAUGAAACGAAGGCGCGCUGAUCGGUAUCAGAAAAGCGUGAAACUCGUCUAAGAAGCGGCGUGGCACGGCGGGGCCACAUUAAAGAGGAAAGUCUGAUUGCGUCCCUCGUGCGUGCAUCGCGCGAAGAAAAUGAUCUCAUCUAAGAAUUCGCCACGGACCGCGAGCUCGAUGUGUGCGAGCGUGUGUGUUAAGAUAUAACAGAACUGGUAGAAGCAAGGCAACCGCUUCGAAGACUUGUUGCAUUGCAUUAUUAUGAUAUAAGACACGCGUGGCCUGCAUUAACCAUAAA
rnacentral:misc_RNA from 1 species